rnacentral:rRNA from 1 species
UACGAAGGGGGCUAGCGUUGCUCGGAAUUACUGGGCGUAAAGCGCACGUAGGCGGAUCUUUAAGUCAGGGGUGAAAUCCUGGAGCUCAACUCCAGAACUGCCUUUGAUACUGGGAAUCUCGAGUCCGGGAGAGGUGAGUGGAACUGCGAGUGUAGAGGUGAAAUUCGUAGAUAUUCGCAAGAACACCAGUGGCGAAGGCGGCUCACUGGCCCGGUACUGACGCUGAGGUGCGAAAGCGUGGGGAGCAAACAGG